rnacentral:tRNA from 1 species
GCUCCCAUGGCGUAGUGGUCACUGCGCUCGCUUUGCACGCGGGAGAAACGGGUUCGAUUCCCGGCGGGGUCA